CACAUCCUGCCUGACCCGCGUAUCGGUCGCAAAUAACCCUACAACUUUUAAAUCGGGAGCUUAGCUCCUUCGGCGGUGUGCAGACCUCCCAUCCUUUUGGACGAAGGGAGCCUAAAGCCGCAGGGCGGGCACCCACCUGUCAUCGUGUAGGCAGGUUAUCUCAAGACCGUUACGGUCAGGCGGGAUACCU
rnacentral:other from 1 species